AGCAUGCCUGUUUGCCCUCAGCUUUCUGUAGAUUACUCUGCUUCUAUGCAGCCAAGCUCUUUCUGCUGAGAUGGUAAAGUGGGGAAUUACAGGGAGCCAGUAUUGGACAGCAGUCAUCAAGCUGGGUUUUUAGGGCCCAUAUAUCACCUGUCGCCCGAAUGCCCACUGCGCUUUCUUUGAGCGCCUCAGUCGUAUUGAUCUGUUCUCAAAAAGAAAUUAUGAACCGUAUUUGUUGAUGUUUAAUUAGCAUACCAAUGUCAGAUCAAUAGCACACAUUUAUGUUUUUUACCAUUUCAUUUACGUAGUAAAAAUUAAUGUGUUUUUCUCAGUUUUUGACAGAUGGUGUUAAGAAACAUCUGCCUUGCAAAGAAAACGAGGAUCAUCUUGAUCUUCCUGAGCUUGAAUUCAUCAGUGUAGCUCAGGUUGAAAAGGCUAAUCCAUUUGGGGAACUGCUGAAUAAAGAAUCAUCCAACUUUAAUAACUGGGACCCAGAGUGGACUGAUAGAAACAGUGCAGAGGACGAGCCCAAACCUGUUCAGAACUGGCAGGAGAAAAGUGGCGCAGCUGUGUCGCUGUCAUCUGCACCUUCUGUGAAGCUGACAUCAGGAGCUCAAUUCCGUGCAUAUGUACAGGACUGUAAACAAGCCCAGUCUGCCUCCACCCUGCGGACUCUCAGCCUCCACACUCCAGGCCUGAUGGGCAGCUGCAGCAGACAGCAGACAGGUUAAACCCAGCACAACCCCAAUCUAGACACAGCGUUUCAGAGUUAAGAUAACGGAGAGCCUGUAAACCACAGCAAUUUAAACGAACACUCACUGCAUAAACAGCAUAGUAAUAAGUAGGGCUGGUAGAAGUUAUUGAUAAUGUAAAAAAUAAAACAUCUUCAGCAGUUAUUCA
rnacentral:lncRNA from 1 species